UGUCUUGUCUACUAGCUUCAAUAUGAAUCCGAUUAAAUGUGAUCGGGUGAAAGCCCCAGUGCAGCAGCAACAGCACAUGAUGGAGACGAUGAUGAGGAGGAGACCAUCUCUCUGGAUUCCAGAAGGCAUGAGGACCCAGAUGCUAUACAGUGGGAAAACCAGCCUGGCAACAUAAGCUCACAAGCUAUCAGAAAGUUGUAUGGCAACCACCUCCGGCGCCAAAUAGAACUGGCAGACAUAGACAUUCAGUACAAGAAGAAAAAGAUGGAAAAUCUUGCACUGGAGUCC